UUGAGUUUUGAACGGGUUGUAGCUGGCCUAUAAAAAGGCAUGUGCACGCCUGGCUCAUUCACUCUAAAUCUUUGUGCACUUUUUGUAGGAAUGACAGAUGCUGACUUUUGUCAGUUGAAGUUUUUUCUAUGUUUUUAUCACAAACAUUUCAGUAUCAGAAUGUAACUUUGCAUAUAAUGCAUUAUAUA
rnacentral:misc_RNA from 1 species